AGCGAACGCUGGCGGCAGGCUUAACACAUGCAAGUCGAACGGGCGUAGCAAUACGUCAGUGGCAGACGGGUGAGUAACGCGUGGGAACGUACCUUUUGGUUCGGAACAACCCAGGGAAACUUGGGCUAAUACCGGAUAAGCCCUUACGGGGAAAGAUUUAUCGCCGAAAGAUCGGCCCGCGUCUGAUUAGCUAGUUGGUGAGGUAACGGCUCACCAAGGCAACGAUCAGUAGCUGGUCUGAGAGGAUGAUCAGCCACAUUGGGACUGAGACACGGCCCAAACUCCUACGGGAGGCAGCAGUGGGGAAUAUUGGACAAUGGGCGCAAGCCUGAUCCAGCCAUGCCGCGUGAGUGAUGAAGGCCUUC
rnacentral:rRNA from 1 species